AAAAGGGAAGGUGCUUACGGUAGAUACAAGGGAGAAGACAUCCUGCCAAGUCCUUGAAACUCAGGCGCUGCUGUCACCUAUCUCCUAGAUCCAAGCUGACAACCUGGAAAGGAAACCACACAAGGCCCUGCAGACUCUGCAGAAACAAGCUACCAGUCAAGUCAUGGGUGGUGCCUGGGGCUCUCCCACAGAUAUAGGGCCUCCUCCGCCCAGAUGAAGCGUUGAUGCCCAGAUGUGGAGACACCAGAAGCAUACACACUAUGUUGCCUUGCCCCUUGCCAAUGAGCUGUGACACUGGAAUGCUUCACUUCAGACAUCAGGGCGGAUGGAUUGCAGAAUUCCAAGUCCUCAUUCCAAAGGUGUCACCAACCUUCAGAGUCACUAAGGUCCAGGCUCAGCCCACAAGUCACCAUGGCUCCUCCAGAGUAAAAGUCCAAGAUUCCACCUGUGGGAGCUACAGAUCCAGAGACUUUCAAGCUGACUAGAGUGCAGAGAAGCAAGACCUCAGUGUGAUCAGCCGAGACUACAGCAUCUUGGGAACCCUCAGUCAGCCCCAAACCCCUAACACUUAACCACUGGUCUCCAAACCAAC
rnacentral:lncRNA from 1 species